ACAGCAGCCGCCGCGGUAAUACGUAGGUCCCGAGUGUUGUCCGGAUUUAUUGGGCGUAGAGCGAGCGCAGGCGGUUAGAUAAGUCUGAAGUUAAAGGCUGUGGCUUAACCAUAGUACGCUUUGGAAACUGUUUAACUUGAGUGCAAGAGGGGAGAGUGGAAUUCCAUGCGUAGCGGUGAAAUGCGUAGAUAUAUGGAGGAACACCGGUGGCGAAAGCGGCUCUCUGGCUUGUAACUGACGCUGAGGCUCGAAAGCGUGGGGAGCAAACAGGAUUAGAUACCCGGGUAGUCCCUGUCUCUUAUACA
rnacentral:rRNA from 1 species